rnacentral:tRNA from 1 species
GGAUGGUUCGCAUAGCGGCGAUUGCACUUGGCUGUAAACCAGGCGACCACGGUCUUCCAAGGUUCGAGUCCUUGACCAUCCACCA